UCAGACAUGCUCUUAGCCCCAAUGUAGCAGCAUGAAUCAGCCCUCUUGAAACCUAAUUGAUGCCACGCCCUCUCACCUGUGUCCAGUGACCAUGAUUGGUCAAUGCAGUUUGGCAUUUAUGUUAAUUAGACACAGCUGGGGUGGCUGAGUCUUUCCCUGGCCUCCAUUGCUUGUGUAGGUUGCCUCUAGCCUGUCCCAGCUGUGGUUCCUGUAGUUUGUGAUUCCAGCUCCUGUCACUGACAUUGCUGUCAGUCACUUUGCAAGAGCAUGAGGACCAACCAUCCGCCUCACUGUGACUCAACACUUGCUUCCUGAAUAAACUCUUUCGAUAAAUGCAUGCUUUGUUUUCAUGCUGGUCUUGCUAGAAAGGCAGGGAAAUGUAUUGUCUUAAAAUUAUUUGACAAAUUUUGAUAUUUUAUACUCUGACAAUCUUUCUAUACAGUUGCAUCAAUUUCUUUGUAAUUCCAUUUGAAUAAA